rnacentral:rRNA from 1 species
CCUACGGGAGGCAGCAGUGGGGAAUAUUGGGCAAUGGGCGCAAGCCUGACCCAGCAACGCCGCGUGAAGGAAGAAGGCUUUCGGGUUGUAAACUUCUUUUCUCAGGGACGAAGAAAGUGACGGUACCUGAGGAAUAAGCCACGGCUAACUACGUGCCAGCAGCCGCGGUAAUACGUAGGUGGCAAGCGUUAUCCGGAUGUACUGGGUGUAAAGGGCGUGUAGGCGGGAAAGCAAGUCAGAUGUGAAAACCACGGGCUCAACCUGUGGCCUGCAUUUGAAACUGUUUUUCUUGAGUACUGGAGAGGCAGACGGAAUUCCUAGUGUAGCGGUGAAAUGCGUAGAGAUUAGGAGGAACACCAGUGGCGAAGGCGGUCUGCUGGACAGCAACUGACGCUGAGGCGCGAAAGCGUGGGGAGCAAACAGGAUUAGAUACCCCUGUAGUC